CUAGGCCCUCUGACAGCCAACUUGUGUGGCAGGAAGAAGAACAGAAGCAGUAAGGUGAGCGGCAGCCCACCUCAGUGUGAGAGGACAGUGAUGCAGUCCAAGGAAGCACCGAGAAGGAAGACACCUAACGAGAAGGAGAAGUGUCAUGGGCAGAGGGAUAGCUCCUGUGGCACAACUGACACCAGUGCUCAGGAGACCUCUGGUGCCCAGCCUACAGACACUUAUAAGCGGUACCAUUGGCACCGCAAUGAUGCAGGGAACAGGCCACCCCCUCAGCCAUACAGCGACAGGGCGCCUGGGCCUUCCCAUUGGCACAAUGGUGGCGUGGGGCGAAGGCAGAAGCAUCAGGCAGACAGCCGUGUGGAGCAGAGGCGUGCCCAUAAUCUGGAACACAGUGCAGGACCCAGCCAUGGCCGUAAAAGAGACGGCAGCAUCAAACCCACGCAUGGAAAUCAACCGUACAGUGGCAUGGGACCUAGGGGUGGAACUGGAUGACCCCCUGGUUCAGCACCCUGGCCUGAAAACAUUCCGGAUAGAAGGCAUCCCAUUUGGGCAGUCCCAGGCAAGGACUGGUUUAUUCUUCUGCCAAACACCGUGGAGCCCAUGGAGCUGGAUCCAUCAGAUGUGGAGGAACCAAUGGAAGUGGAUCCACCUCCACCAGAACAGACCAGCAACUACCGCUGUAUGUCUUUGCUCUGUGUCAUCAGAGCACACCAACAGCAUCACAGGAGUGCCCAGCGAGCUCCCUGCUCAUCACUCAGGCUCCAUCCCAAACAUUAGCUUGGAGCCACCAAAUACCAUGGACAUCCCACAGGCUUACCUGCAAGACGUCCCAGCAAUAAACAACUCUGUUCCUGAUUCUCAGGGUUUGCAUGAGUGCUUCUUUCCCAUCACCCAGCCCUUGUGCGAGAGGUGGCAUCCCUUCUGCACAGAGCCUCGAGGAAGAGCACAAGAGAGGACCCAACUUUCUUCAGGCUGCUGCGCUGGGGUGACAGGAGGAGUCCCUGAGGGCCACCAUGCACCUUUAACGUUUGUGAAAAUAGACUGAGGGAUGAAAACAGUAGUGUGUAAGCGAUUAUAGGUGGCUAAUUUCUUAUAUUUGGAGUGAC
rnacentral:lncRNA from 1 species